GUUUGAUCAAUGAUGUUAGUAAAAAAAACUGCGUUAUCUAUCUGUAACUCCCUACAAGGGAUUGAAGAUAAUGAUUGUAAAUUACUGAGAUCCAAA